ACAAUAGCACAAAGCUGCCCCAGGGAAGGGUCCUCUUCCAAGCUUGCUCAGUGGCUGUGGGCUGGAUUGAGCUCUUCACUAGCUACUGAACUGAGGGCCUCAGUUUCUCAGAGGCUGUUACCCAAAGGCCUCCCUCAGCUCCCUGCCAUAUGGGCCUCUCCACAGGGCAACUCACCAUAUGGUGGCUGGCUUCACCAGAGCAAGCAAACAAGAAGAGCCCGAGAGAAGACUAACAAGCUGGAAGUCACCAUCCGUCCAACCUAAUCUCGGAAGUGACAUCUCAUCACUCUUGCUGUAUUCUAUCAGGUAGAAGCAAGUCACCAGGUCCAGCCCACCUGCAAGGGGAGGGAAGAGCAAAGCUGUGACCACCAAGAGGAGGAAGAAAUGAUGUCUUCCGGGGAGGCUGCCGGGGCUUCUGUGAGGUCCAGCAAUGAGUUGGAGGCACCAGCACUGCACUGAAAUCAAUGUCUCCCAAGACGGAGAAUGCCUGGGGAGGCAGGAGCUCCGCUCCCCUGCAGGAACCUCCCAAGAAGGACCCGAGCGUCCCCGCAGCCUGGAGACUGGCCGUCUGCGGUUGAGCACCCGGGACCUGCUCCAGGUGCUUCUUGGCCAUAUUUACUUCCCCGGCUCCGGGUGCGUCAGGCCGACUGCCCACGUGCAGCUGGGUUUCCUCUGUUUAGCUGCAUCCACAGGGGUCAUGUAUCCGUAUCGGUCUUUCUAAGGGGAGCUCUGUGGUUUUAUUCAUUCAUUCAUUCAUUCAUUCACCCACGCAUCUACUGAGCACCUACUACAUAUCAUGAACUGUCCUAGGCACUAAUGAAUAACACCAAACGUGCUCAUUGUAA